GUGCUGCUUUUUCCUGUGAGAGGAUUAGGGAAUAGGAGAAUGGCUUUGUGAGGAGAGAGAGAGAGAGGAGAGCUGAGAAGAAACUAAACUAGAAGACUAGCCUUUCAGAGUUCUUUCCAUUGAGGCGAAUUGCAUGUGAUACAGCAGCUGGGGGCUGUUGGUUUUCUUUUCAGCUCCCUACUGUAAGAGAAGCUGGUAAGAUUAUUUUUCCCCUUGUUCUCCUGUUCUGUGAUGCUCUUGUAAUUGCCUUAUUGAAGGGACUCCUUCAGGAGGAAGGGAAGUUGGUUAAUGAUACUGAGGACACGCUGCAUUGUCUUUCCUCCCCCCCCCCCCCAGUAAAGCUACCUAAUAUUUGAAGAGGGACUAUUUACAGUACAGAGGGGGCAGUUUUUGGUAGGAAAAGUUGUUUUUCUCCUUUUUGCUAAAGGACUCUUAGUAUAAAACUGGGGGGGGCGGGGAGCAGGGGGGGAGGGAGAAUAUUUAUCAAGUCGUACCAAACUGUUCGGAUAUAUUUAAAGUUUUCAGAAGUAUUUUGGGUGAGGGGGAGCCAUUUCACCCGUUUGCAGCAUUCUUGAUGUUAUCAGCUUUGUCACUUUCCUGGACUAAUUCCAGAUCUCCUGGGGUGUGUGUGAGAAACAUAUAUUAGAACCCUAUUUUUCACAGGCUCCACAAAGACAACAGGGACUGCUUGUCUUAGCAACAAAAGCUAAGCAAGCAACUCCUUCUGGAAGGUGAAAAGGAAGGAAUACCUUCUGAAGAGGUAGGGAGAAGCAAAGUGAAAUUAAUCUAAGAACAAGGAAUGAACGCAGUGAUGUUUGGCUACAUCUGAAUGAAGCAGCACGGCUCAGUAUAUACCUCAAAUGCUAUUUGAGUUAACUAUGAUUUUUCUAGGUUUUUUUAUGGAAUAUAUGCCACAGUGGCAAUUUGUAUUUUGUUUGAGUCUCUUGCUUCAUUUCAUAUAUGUGUGGGAACUGUUAAGUUUUAAAUUCCUUGACAAAGCAGAGAUAUAUAAACUUGGCUUGAGGGCAAUUUCAAGGAAAAGUUGAAAAAGUCUUGUGCCUGUCAUGGAUAGCAUAGAUGUAAUUACAAACAAAAGCUUUCUUUUUGGUCAAGUAAGAAAUCACAAAUUAAGAAAGUAAGGAAUGAUUGGCAAUAAUUAAAGUGAUGAUUGACAUGUUUUUUCUAGCACUCUUCCUUCCUUCCUUCCUUCCUUCCUUCCUUCCUUCCUUCCUGGCGAUUAAAUUCUUACUCUUUUAUUCAGCAUUCCUAUCUGAAGUAACACUUUAUAUUUAUUACUGUGGAAAAAGACAUGCUCUUUCUCUUCUUCUGCAUCCCACCUUCCCAAAACACUUCAAAGAAGCGACUGUGUUAUAUUAUUUACAUUAUUAUCUUCAGCUUUUUCUGACUUAGAUCUCAUUCAAACCAUCAACUGUUAGGGGAAAAGUCUGCAGGCCAUAGUCAUGCAUAAGUGGUAUAGGAAGCAGGUCAUUACUAUGGGUGGUUUGUAGCUUGGAAAGAGGGUGCUAAUUUUAGGAAAUGGGGUUGUCAUGGAGCCCUAAAGAGUGGUGGCGGGUGGGGUGGAGUGUAUCUGCAUGAACAUUAGUGUUGCUGAGUCAUGUGAUUUCAUUAUCUCAAAGACAAGACCCACUGUAAACGAUUUUUACAUUUAGCCCUUCCUCCACCUCCUCCCUCCAUUCUUUCCUCUCACACAGACACUGGUUGCUAGGGUAAUAGGGUUUUUAAAAAAUUCUGUCACAUAAUACCACAGUGGUGUUAGUGGCUACUUAUUGAGUUGCUUCAUGCAAUGCCUGAGCAGUCUCAACAGGGGGAUCAUUGUGCUUAAUGUUCAUUUAGAUGUGUCACUAGUUCAAAUUAGUUUUCUGAAAUAUAGAUAUCACUAGUAUACAUCCAGUUUUGCCAACUCUUUAACCAGCAGCUUCUUUUUUUAGAAACACACCCACCAAAUGGCCAUUUCAGGUUUUAUAUAGAUUACUGCGUACUUUAACUCUGUGUAUUCUGUGUUUCAAUUCCACACUUUUCAAAGUAAGAAUUUAUUCAUUAACAUGUAUAUGCAGAAUGACACCUACACAACUACACACCUGUUGAGAGCAGCUAUGGAAAUUGGCUGCUUUUUCCAUUUUACUUAGUUCAUAAAUGCCAGGCUGCACAUCCUAUUUUACUAAAGUGCUCUGCUGUGCCCCAAUUGGUUGUCAGCUGAUGGUAUUAAUUUAUUUUCAUUGAGGCAUAAAACUCUCAAAUCUGAUUUGUGAAGGAAAAUGGCAGAUCUUUGAAUCCAAAUUAGCAACAAUCUCUACUGUGGUGUUGGUUUAUCCUAACAAUUUAAGGAAAAUAAAAAGCACAUGCUUUGCAAUCAAUGGAGAAUUUGUGAUCACCCUUGGAGGGAGUUAGGAUUUAACAGUCUAUAAGAAGAUUUGAAUACAGCAGUGUUUGCUCUGUAGUCCUCUUCAGAUAAAUAACUAGGGAACACUAUACACAACCUAUAUGCAUAUGGCAACAUCCUUGCACAACAAAACUUCUGGUUUCUCUUCUCUGUCCUCCAGCCUUCCAUGCCCCUCCCCCCAUAUCUGCUCUGUGGGGGGGUCUCUAGAUUUUAUGGGAAUGGAGGAGAGGUGGAGAUGCCACACAGCACAAACAGACACCUGCUCAUGCGAUACUGGAUCUCACCCUUAUGUUCUCCAUUUUUUGCUCUGUGGAGUUCUUCAGCUGAAUGAAUCAAAGUUGAUGGUUGAACCCUAGAGCAGCUGGGGGUGGUGCUAGGGGCUACAAGGAAGAUGAGAGAAAGGGAAGAGCCUUUGAUGUUGUCCAAUAAUAAUUAGCCAAUUGGAGUAUCACUGUCAGGAACCAGUCAGGGGCAGGUUAGCAGUAAAAUUUAGUGAGGUUAACUCUUUAUUAAGAGGAACCAAAACAGUGCAGACCUAGUGAUCCCACCAACUCUACUCAGUAGGUCUUGCCCCAAUGAGACAGUUGCAAGGACUGAAGGUCCCCACCUUCCCACUUCUCCUGGUUUCUUCGCCAGCUGCCUAAGGCUCCUUCGCCUGGCCUCUUUGUUCCGCCCUCUUCAUUUCUCUGCAUGUUCUGGGAGACCAGGGGGAGAGGAGCUUGUCACAAGAGGAGGGAGAGCUUCCCUGGCUUCUUCAGCAACCUGCCUUCACUCUGCCUCUUGACCACCCUCUGCUGCUGCUUCUGAUUUUGGACUGUUGUCUGCCACAGUCUCUUCCUGCUCACUUAACCCUGUUACCUCUUCCAUUUCUGACACCUCCCUCUUCCAGUUUGCUCCUUCUCCCUUUGACCACUCAUCAUCAUCACCCCACCACCAAUCCCCCUGCUUCUGAGCCUUCUUCCUUUGGGGGUUCUCCAGCUGGUGCCUCCCAUCAUUCCUCUGCAUUCAGCCAGUCCAUGGCAAUCUCAUAAUGUCAAUACUUGUAGAAGGUUGGUUGAGGAUACCAGAAACUGGGAACUUUGCAGAUCAGACUUUCAGAUAACUGGAAGCUCUGCCAGAAGUUCUCUUUAAUUCUGCACUUUUCAAAUGCUGCUGCUUUUUAUUAUGUUUUAAAAAUACUGCAUAUGAUUAUAACCAGAAAAAUAUGAUCUAUUCAACAUUUUUAUUCAAAAUGAAAGUUGAAUGAAGUUGGGUUUACCUUUUCAGAUGAAUGGUGGGAAGUGAAUGAGUAAGUAGUUUGCUUACAAAUGUUUUGUCUUCUGAGUGAUGUAAAAUGGGAAAACUUGAACAGCAAUGCAUCUCAUCAGACAUAACCCAGUAGUGUAGGUGGGAAACACUAAGAUUGAGUUCAGUUUAAAAUCGGAUGAGUUCAACUCAUAUAUGCAUAUAAACACUAUUUUUGUGUAUGCAGCCUGAAUCGCAACUCUGACAGAUCUUAAACAAGCACUAACAAGAACCACAAAAAUAUAUUUAUUAUAGGGAUUAAUAUAAAGUAUGUACAAAAUCAGGUGAAUAUAAAGAUAGGAGGGUAGCAUUGGAAUCACCUUUGCCAAAUUAACCCCCUAUUUAAACAGAGCUGGUCAUUCGGUCUUGCAAACACUAGGUCUUGUGAAACCCUGUGCACAGGGCACUACAACAACUUGACAGUCAGCUGAUCAUCAGAGCUUCAUGGGCAAAAACUGGUGAUCUGACAUCAUUGUGAAGUCAAGUGAUUGGCGGGUAGGCAGCUUCAUCCACCUUUCAGACUUGGUCCACUGGGGGAGGGAUAGGUACGCCCACACAUGUACACAAAUAUGUGAGCAUCUUGGAUUGUUCUAUGUUUUACUACCAUGUGCAGAAGUUGAAGAAUAGUCCUAAAAGCAUGUUUAAAAAGUUAACUAUAGACAUUGCCCUAUCAUUAAGCAGAGUAAGGCAGCUGCCUCAGGCGACCAAUGCCUGGGAGUGGCAGCAAGGGCCUGGAGUACAAAGCUAUGGGUGCCUUGUCCCCUGUCCUGCGUCUCCUGAGCCCCCUGGGAAUGGGGGACAUAAUGACCUGGCUUCAGCUGUGGUGGAGCCCAUGCUGAAGUAAUCAUCUCCUUAUGUAGAAUGUAGGGUGCCAUCUUAUCCUACACCCCAGGCAGCCAAAUGUCAUCAGCUGACCCCAACUACAAGGGUAGUUUUUAAAGGGGCUCACUCACCACUGUCCUUAAAUUAGACUGCUUAGGUUUUUAGUCAACUGCUACUUUCUUGCACAGCUGGGAAGAGUGAUUUCCUUUCAUCUCUAAUUGACUGUGAAAGAGGAAGCUUUUUCUUUUUGUUGUAUUCCCUCUCUUUGCUUCCUCAUCUCUUUGAUCUAAUGCAUAUCUCUUUGUGAAAUGCACAAGACUUUAAACAAUUGAGGUGUCCUCCUGCCCUCUGCUACCUUACUGGUCCUUAUGGCUACUGCUUGUAGACAUAGCCUUUCUAUUUCUGCUUCUGUGACCCAAGAGGAUAGAAGCACCCAAGAACUAAUUUAUACUAGAUUAUGGACCAACACUAUAAAUUCCCAGUUCGGGCCUCAAGUGAAACAAGUUACAAACCAUGCAACUGAAUUUAAAUAAAGCAAACAUGGAUUACAUCAGUUACUAAGCAAUUGUUUAUAGUUUAUAGGAAGAUUGUUUAUAGUUCAGUUUGCUUGCUUUUUGCUCCAUUGUGAUAAGUAAUCAGGGUGCCUUUGGUUGAAAGUGAAUUUAAGGAUGCAGAGUAGUACCUUAUGGAAUCGUUUCACAAGUUGUGUUAUCUCAGAAGCCACUUUUCACUUUUGUGACCUGCUGCGAUCCCUGCACUAGGCAAGCCCAUUCAUGCUCUCAGUCCUGCAGAGAGAAGUGCCAGAGACUAGCAGUGAUUAUUCUCUGCAACCUUUCCCCAGGUAUACAAGUCAAUGGCACUUUGGGAGAGAUAAAAUAUGCUUUUCUUCCAGUCUGAUUAAAGCAGAGAAAGAUAUGUCUUUGCAUACAGGAUAUUUUCUGCUUCUCUCAAUUAUUUUGAGGCUCCGAAGCACUGGCAGUAGAAUUCAUUCGGAGUUGCAUGUUAAAAGUAUAUUCAACUCUUAUUACUAUUUUAUAGCAGAUGCAGUUGAAUUUUGACAUUUUUCUCACGCUGCUUGUUAAAGGCUGAUUCCUUUUAGAAUGCUAGGAAGGCAGUUGGUAUUGGCAGCUAAACACAAGAAACACCCUGUAAUGCCUACAAAAACACAGCCUCUGAGACAGCCAAUGGCAAGCCUCCAUUUCUAUCAUUCUUGUCUAGGCAUUCUCAGAAAUCUGCUCAGUAUUGCUGUGACCUCAGUAAGUGGAACAAUUUGUGAUUUACAAUGGAUUAAGUGAGAUCAGAGUUAAUGCCUGUUGUGUUCUCUGAUUUCAUAUCCCAUUUAGAAGGCAAUUUAUCUGCUCCUGUACUGGAGAUGGGAGACUGAACACACAUCAAAUAGCUACUACUAAGUAGCUUUCGUGACCUACAUGCCCAGUGUAUAGGGUUGGGGUUUUCAGGCAGCAUUAGUUAGUGAAACCUUUUCCAGAAAAAUGGUUGGAAAUGUACUAUUGAUUCACACCAGUCUCAGCAGACCAAAGCCAGUAGUGGAUACAUUUUGAAAAUCUGAAUGUUCACAUUGCCCCAGAUAGAAACAAGAGGGUAUAAAUUGUCUUUGGUAAAUUGUAAACAUGUUUCUAAUAAAUUGUGCAUUGUGGGUUGGUAGAAAGGUUUUCCAUUAGAAAUAGACCACAGGGAACCUGCUUUAGGCCAGUUCAAUUUGCAAUAUAUUCAGUAAAGUUUGCAACAUGCCUUUUUUUCUUGAGUCCUGUUUCUUUAUUUCAGGGAAUCAUAUGCACGUCAAACCUACUAAUUCCUUUACUUCAAAACAAUGCAGUCUCUGUUGCGUUCUAGCAAUCAAUGGAUAUCGACAAUAUCCCCUAUUUUAUUUUAUUUUUCAAAUCUUGCUUUGAUUAAUCCUAGUGACAUUUGUAAGAUUAAGAAUGGUGUUUCAAGCUGAAGAUAAUUUGCUUAUAGUCAAGAAUCAGUGAGUGCAUCUUCCAUUCAUAAGACUUUCCUACAGAUAUAUAUUAUUAAGAGAUGAUUGGGGAAAAUAAUUGUAUUACAGGUAUAAAAUAGUUAUAGGAAUCUACCUCCUGCUAUGUGUUCUGAAGUAUUUAGUAAUCUUUAUUGCACCAAUGAACUUGGGACCAAUGUGCAUUGCCAAUUUUGAUAUUGUACAUUUGGUAUAAUAUUUGUUAUUUGUUGUGAUUAUGAUGUUUGAAAAUCAUGCAGGAUUUUGUACUACUUCCUUUACCUUUUGUGCUUCAUUUAUACAUUCAUCCAGAUUGCUAUGUAUUUUUGCGACAAAACAUGACAUCACACUACAGAGACUAAAUGCUAUAUUGCUGUUUCAUCACUAAAUUUGUAAAGUCCCAACAAGAUCCGUAGAACUAAAAUACAGAAAGUUUAUACUGAAGAUGCUGUCAUUGGGAUAAUGCUGACAAAUAUAUUAAGCUGAGAUAAGGCAAUUGUAGCUUCUGGUCCUCAGCUGUGUGCUGUUUGCCUUACUUAGUGUCUUGAGUCCACUGAAUCAUGGCUAUGAACCAAACUGCUUAUAAUGUGUGUCUGCACGUGCAAAUUUAUGUCUCUUUUCCACAACAUGCUUCUCUCCACCCUCAAGUCCAGGGGUCAGCAGACUUUUUCAGCAGGGGGCCAGUUCACUAUCCCUCAGACCUUGUGGGGGGCCAGACUAUAUUUGGGGGGGGGGGAAUGAACGAAUCUAUAUACCCCACAAAUAACCCAGAGAUGCAUUUUAAAUAAAAGGGCACAUUCUACUCAUGUAAAAACAUGCUGAUUCCUGGAUCGUCCACAGGCCGGAUUUAGAAGGCGAUUGGGCCGGAUUCGGCCCCCAGGCCUUAGUUUGCCUACCCAUGCUCAAGCCUAUCUCAUGAUUUUUUAAAAAAGCAAAAACAUCUAUUUUCACAUGGACACUUCUUAUUCUAAAUGCAGCCAUUGUUUGUUAUGUCUAGCCAGUAAUUAGACCUCAGAUGGUGAGGCAAUUUCAGAACAUGGUUUACCAAUUUACAUGCUAAUCCAGCAGACUGUGGUGGAGCCAUGAUUAGUGCAGACUCCAUCAACAUCUUAAUUAGCCCUGGUCCCAGCAUGGAGCAGUGGUGGCUAUCUUUGUAGGUCUGAGAAUGUUUGCUUUUUUUAGGACAAAUGCAUGUUUCCCCAAAGCCUGCCCCCCGCCCCCGCGCGCUAAUUGCUGUUUAAAGGAAGAAACCCAGUUCCUGAGAGAGGCUGGAAAUGCCUAAAACAACGAACCAGCAGCCUAUUCAGGGGAGGUUCCCAUUCUGCAGCUUAUAUUAGAGAGUGGCCAAAGUAAAAAAAUCAAAUACUAGUAAGGCAACUGAACUGAUUUUAGAUCGUCUUAAAGUAUGGCAUAUGUUGAGGGGAAAGUGUAACAACUUUUUGACACAAUAUGGACGGCUGACAAAAAGAAGGGGGAUUGCUAAUUGUAUAUAGAUAUUUAGAUGCACACACAUACAUGCAUAUAUACACAUUGUAUGUAUAUAACUGUAACUGUUAUAUCAGUUAAUUUGGAUACCUUAGACUAGACCAAUGACAACAGGGUUUUUUUAAAAUAGAGGUAACUGGUUUAAAUACUCAUUUUUAAUGUCUAGUCCAGGAGGGCUGCAGAAUUACUCAUGAGUACUUGUGAAUUAUAACUAACCAUAUAGCAAAACUUAAGCAGGAAAUAAAAAUUAUUGUUUGCAUAUGUGGGGUAAAUAACUUAAACAUUUAACUCUGUAAAAGCUUCAGACAUGCUGAAGAACAUAGCAGAUCAGGUACACUAAACAAGGACAAGUAUAAUAGCCUAGGUAGGUAUCAUGUUGUUGUACAAGGAAUCCUAUAAUGUGUUUCCCACCUGCAUAUGCUCUGUGCUAAGCCACAAAUACUUGGUGGUUUUGAAUGAUUUAAAAUAUUUUCCUUUAGCAUCUAGUAGACCAUAUAAAUUUACAUCUGCAAUGGAAGUGUUAAUCUGGUGCCUAGACUACAUACAUAAGAGUUUCCUUGCCAAAUCU